UGAGACUCUGUCUCAAAAUAAAUAAAUAAAUAAAUAAAUAAAUAGAUUAGCAUGGCCCCUGCCCAACGAUGACAUGCGAAUUCAUGAAGCAUACCACGUUUUU